rnacentral:rRNA from 1 species
UACGUAGGGGGCAAGCGUUGUCCGGAUUUAUUGGGCGUAAAGAGCGUGUAGGCGGCCCGACAGGUCCGUUGUGAAAACUCGAGGCUCAACCUCGAGACGUCGAUGGAAACCGUCGGGCUAGAGUCCGGAAGAGGAGAGUGGAAUUCCUGGUGUAGCGGUGAAAUGCGCAGAUAUCAGGAGGAACACCCGUGGCGAAAGCGGCUCUCUGGGACGGUACUGACGCUGAGACGCGAAAGCGUGGGGAGCGAACAGG